UGCAGAGAUGUGGAACCAACCUAAGUGCCCAUCAAUUCACAAGUGGAUAAACGUAAUGUGGUAUGUACAUAACAUGAGGUACUAGUCAGCCAUAAAAAGGAAUGAAACGAUGUUGUCUGCAGCAACUUGGAUGGAACUGGAGGCCAUUAUCCUAACUCUCCUCCAGGCAGUGUCUCAGGGACCCAGAUUCCUGCCAUCUUGUGGCUCUGUGCUCCUCUUUGUCCGUGGAGUUCUAUUAAGCCAAUGGCUGGGAAAGGAGAGGGCAAAGAUCAUUUGUGGGAGGUUUUUAUAGGAUAGGAAUAUCAUUGGCUCUGCAUGAGAUCCUGGGGACUCUUCUUGGACUAUGGCUUGACUGCGCAAGGGCCUCUCUCUUCAGAUACUUAUCAAAAGAGAAAAACAUGGAGUUUCUCACGAUGUUUCCCAGGGUGGAGUGCAGUGGCUAUUUACAUGUGUUAUCCUAGCCCUACAUCGUUAAACUCUUGGGCUCAAGGGAUCCUGUCAUCUCAGCCUCCCACAUAGCUGGAAUUAUAGGCCUAAACCACCACGUCCCACCAAUUUUGUGUUUUGCAUUAUACAUGUGU